AUUGAACGCUGGCGGCAUGCCUUACACAUGCAAGUCGAACGGUAACAGGUCUUCGGAUGCUGACGAGUGGCGAACGGGUGAGUAAUACAUCGGAACGUGCCCAGUUGUGGGGGAUAACUGCUCGAAAGAGCAGCUAAUACCGCAUACGACCUGAGGGUGAAAGCGGGGGAUCGCAAGACCUCGCGCAAUUGGAGCGGCCGAUAUCAGAUUAGGUAGUUGGUGGGGUAAAGGCUCACCAAGCCGACGAUCUGUAGCUGGUCUGAGAGGACGACCAGCCACACUGGGACUGAGACACGGCCCAGACUCCUACGGGAGGCAGCAGUGGGGAAUUUUGGACAAUGGGCGCAAGCCUGAUCCAGCCAUGCCGCGUGCGGGAAGAAGGCCUUCGGGUUGUAAACCGCUUUUGUCAGGGAAGAAACGCUCUGGGUUAAUACCCUGGGGUAAUGACGGUACCUGAAGAAUAAGCACCGGCUAACUACGUGCCAGCCGCCGCAGUAA
rnacentral:rRNA from 1 species